CGCGUGAGAAUCUGCCUUCAGGUCGGGGAUAACAGUUGGAAACGACUGCUAAUACCGGAUGUGCCUACGGGUGAAAGAUUUAUNUGCCAGAAGAUGAGCUCGCGUCUGAUUAGCUAGUUGGUGGGGUAAAAGCCUACCAAGGCGACGAUCAGUAGCUGGUCUGAGAGGAUGAGCAGCCACACUGGGACUGAGACACGGCCCAGACUCCUACGGGAGGCAGCAGUGGGGAAUUUUCCGCAAUGGGCGAAAGCCUGACGGAGCAAGACCGCGUGAGGGAGGANAGGCCUUUGGGUUGUAAACCUCUUUUGUCAGGGAAGAACACNNUGACGGUACCUGACGAAUCAGCCUCGGCUAACUCCGUGCCAGCAGCCGCGGUAAUACGGAGGAGGCAAGCGUUAUCCGGAAUUAUUGGGCGUAAAGCGUCCGUAGGUGGCGAAGUAAGUCUGCUGUCAAAGACCACAGCUUAACUGUGGAAAGGCAGUGGAAACUGCGGCGCUAGAGUGCGGUAGGGGUAGAGGGAAUUCCAGGUGUAGCGGUGAAAUGCGUAGAGCUCUGGAAGAACACCGGUGGCGAAAGCGCUCUACUGGGCCGUAACUGACACUGAGGGACGAAAGCUAGGGGAGCGAAUGGGA
rnacentral:rRNA from 1 species